rnacentral:lncRNA from 1 species
CACAGAGUUGGGUGUAGAAUGCAAGAUGACUGUGCUUUGGAGAACUGGACCUCACUGCAACCUCAUGUGAAUGAAUCCAUGUCAGGAAGCCAAAGGGUCUGUGUUGGAAGCCUGAUGUCUAAAGGCAAUGGCAGAAACUGGAGCCUCCUACACAGACAUGCAAGACAACUUUUCCUUUUUAUUCCAUCCAGGCCACAGGCCUAUAGCUGUAUUCCUCAGUACAACACUCCCAUUCACUCUCCAGCACUGACUUCCCAGGAAACCUGGCAAGUGAUUUUUGUCAUGACCGUUAAUCUUGGUUGGAUUUAGAAACGGCUGGGAAGCUAAUCAAGCACACUUUUAGGUGUCUGUGAAGGCAUUUCCAGAGAUGAGUGCCUCAUGGGACAGCACACUCACGGUGACAGCAUCCUGAAUGUGGACAGCACCAUCCAAUAGGAUGGUGAUUCAGAUGGAACAAAAGCGGAAGGAGGAAGCCUCUAGCACAGGCUGGCUGCUGCUUUCUGCUUCCAGCUGCCAUGAAAUAAGCAGUUUUCCUCCACCAUGCACUUCACUGGGAUGUUCUACCUCACUUCAGGCCCGCAGCAAUGGAACCAGCCGACCAUAAAGCUAUGAGCCAGAAUACUUUUCCUGCUUUAAAGUUGUUUAUGGUCAGGUAUUUUGUCACAGUGAUGAAAGCUGACUAACAUAUCUAGUCUUUUGACAACAUUGUACUGUCUUGUUUACUGUAGCCUUAUGAAGUCUUGAAAUUAGAGAAAUUUUCUACC